rnacentral:rRNA from 1 species
AUCGAUGAAGAACGCAGCGAAAUGCGAUAAGUAAUGUGAAUUGCAGAAUUCAGUGAAUCAUCGAAUCUUUGAACGCACAUUGCGCCCCUUGGUAUUCCGGGGGGCAUGCCUGUUCGAGCGUCAUUUUAACCCUCAAGCUCAGCUUGGUAUUGGGGCUUGCCUCCGGGCAGCUCUUAAAAUCAGUGGCGGCGCCAUCUGGCUCUAAGCGUAGUAAUUCUUCUCGCUAUAGGGUCCCGGUGGACGCCCGCCAGAACCCCCAAUUUUUCUAUGGUUGACCUCGGAUCAGGUAGGGAUACCCGCUGAACUUAAGCAUAUCAAUAAGCGGAGGAAAAGAAACCAACAGGGAUUACCUUAGUAACGGCGAGUGAAGCGGUAACAGCUCAAAUUUGAAAUCUGGCUCUUUCAGGGUCCGAGUUGUAAUUUGUAGAAGAUGCUUCGGGUGUGGCUCCGGUCUAAGUUCCUUGGAACAGGACGUCAUAGAGGGUGAGAAUCCCGUAUGUGACUGGUUGCCUUCGCCCAUGUGAAGCUCUUUCGACGAGUCGAGUUGUUUGGGAAUGCAGCUCAAAAUGGGUGGUAAAUUUCAUCUAAAGCUAAAUAUUGGCCAGAGACCGAUAGCGCACAAGUAGAGUGAUCGAAAGAUGAAAAGCACUUUGGAAAGAGAGUUAAACAGUACGUGAAAUUGUUGAUAGGGAAGCGCUUGCAACCAGACUUGCACGCGGUUGAUCAUCCGGUGUUCUCACCGGUGCACUCUGCCGUGUUCAGGCCAGCAUCGGUUUCGGUGGUUGGAUAAAGGCCUUGGGAAUGUAGCUUCUUUCGGGGAGUGUUAUAGCCCUCGGUGCAAUGCAGCCUACCGGGACCGAGGACCGCGCUUCGGCUAGGAAGCUGGCGUAAUGGUUGUAAGCGACCCGUCUU